GACGAACGCUGGCGGCGUGCUUAACACAUGCAAGUCGAACGGAAAGGCCCUGCUUUUGUGGGGUGCUCGAGUGGCGAACGGGUGAGUAACACGUGAGUAACCUGCCCUUGACUUUGGGGUAACUUCAGGAAACUGGGGCUAAUACCGGAUAGGAUCUCCUGCUGCAUGGUGGGGGUUGGAAAGUUUCGGCGGUUGGGGAUGGACUCGCGGCUUAUCAGCUUGUUGGUGGGGUAGUGGCUUACCAAGGCUUUGACGGGUAGCCGGCCAGAGAGGGUGGCCGGCCACACUGGGACUGAGAGACGGCCCAGACGCCUACGGGAGGAAGCAGGGGGGAAGAUUGCACAAUGGGCGGCAGCCUGAUGCAGCAACGCCGCGUGCGGGAUGACGGCCUUGGGGUUGUAAAACGCUUUCGGCUGUGACGAAGCGUGUGUGACCGGAAUGGGUAAAGAAGCACCGGCUAACUACGUGC
rnacentral:rRNA from 1 species